AAAAAAAAAAAAAAGAAAAAAGAGAAAGCAUGGAAACUUGCUUUCUAUCCUGUAACUCAUUUACCAAAACCAUUGAGCUUGUCCCCUCUAUCCAAGCUAGAGUAUUCUCCUACCCCAAGAGAAGUCCUGCUCAUUUUCUUUCCAAAAAACUUGGUCUUUCAUCUUCUGUAACAUGUAAGUUGUUUUCUUUAAUCAUCUUUGCGCCAGAUGUUUGAUUUGAAUUCGAGACCUAAUAGUCUUAGAGAAGCCUCCGAUACUAAUUUUUUUUUACUUCAUAAGUUAUGCAUGAAUACGCUUGAUCAGGCUGUUGUCUUCGUUUUUGACUUGAUUUUCUUUGUUAAAAAUAGGUUGUCAUUUAUCAUCAUCGUCGUCAUCGGCUGGUGAUGAAAGCCAGCCUUACCUUGAGGCUGACUGGCGGUCAUUUAGAGCAAGAUUAGUGGCUAAUGAACAAGCAUUUAGACCCAAUAUUGAGACUUCAUCAAUGGUGGAUCCUGAUACUGCUGUGGAAGUAGAUCAUCCACUACAAGUCAAAAUUGGAGACAAAUGGGCCCAUCCCAUCCAUGAGCCUGAAAAGGGUUGCCUACUAAUAGCCACAGAAAAGCUUGAUGGGGUUCAUAUUUUUGAACGAACGGUGAUCCUUCUAUUAUCAGUGGGGCAUGUGGGCCCAUAUGGGAUAAUACUCAAUCGGCCAUCUCUUAUGUCCAUCAAGGAGAUGAGAUUAACGGUGCUAGAUGCAUCUGGGAUGUUCUGUGAUAGGCCAUUGUUCUUUGGUGGGCCUUUGGAGGAAGGGUUAUUUUUGGUGAAGCCAGAAAGUGGAUAUGAUAAUGAAAUGGUGGGCAAGAGUGGGGUAUUUGAACAAGUAAUGAAUGGACUGUACUAUGGGACUAAAGAGAGUGCUGGUUGUGCAGCUGAAAUGGUGAAGAGAAAUGUGGUUGGAAUAGGGGAUUUUAGAUUCUUUGAUGGGUAUUGUGGGUGGGAAAAAGAGCAAUUAAGAGAAGAAAUCAUUGCUGGCUAUUGGACAGUUGCAGCUUGUAGUCCAAGUGUAAUUGCUCUUCAAAAUGUAGGCACUCGUGGGCUAUGGGAAGAGGUCCUUGGGCUUAUGGGCCCAAGAAAGGUUUGGUGACACCUUAUUGAUAGAUCAUGUUGUUUUGGUUAGGGCAGAAAUGGGAGCUUGUAAAUGGUGUUACCAAAAUAUAACACUCCAUUAUAUGUUGAAAAAUGUAUGAGAAUUAAUUGUAAUAUAUCACUUGGUAUGCCAAUGACAUCCAAUUUCUU
rnacentral:misc_RNA from 1 species